rnacentral:lncRNA from 1 species
AAGAUUAUUAUUUUGUUAGACAUUUUGGAUGAAUAGGAUACCUUAAACUCACGGCCGGACUGGCCAGGCAUUUAAAGGCAGUGCAGCCCAGUAGAAGGGGGCGGGGACAGAGAGGGUGUGUGUGAUGUCUUCAACAAUGACACUCACACCACCUCAAAUUGAGUAUGUCAAUUUGCUGUCCCUCCAGUGCAUCUUAUGCAGAGAGACAUGCUGAAGAGCACUCACAUGGGAGCAAUGCCCUGUGUCUAUUUUACACACCAUAGCUAUGUGUUUGCCGUUGACCUGUCUCUGGUGGACAAAAGUGGGGCACAGCCAGUAAAUAAUGUUGUCUCUGUGGUGCUACAUGCGUCCGGAGGCUGAUUGUGGGAUUGCAUGUGCGUAGAGGCAACUCUUUGUUGUGUAGUGUGUUUGUAUAGAGCAGUCUGUGGUGUACUAUGCAUGGCUAGGAACUGUAGUGCGCAUGUGUUUUCACUGGAUGUAAAGUGUGUGUGUCUAGAAGCUGAAGAGUGUAUAUGUUUGUCAAGCGGUUGUAUAGAAAGAGCUGUAGUGUGCAUGUAUCUGUAUUGGGACUGUUAUGUCCAUGUGGGUGUGACUACAGGCUGUAGCAGGUGUGUACAGGGGCUGUAAUGUGUAUGUUUAAGUAUAGGGGCUGUAGUUGGUGUGUACAAGGUAGUUUGUGUUUGUAUUGAGGCUGUAGUGUGUGUGUGUGUCUAGAGACUAUAGCGUGUCAUUUACAUAGUUUGGAGCUGUUUAGCGAUUUGGAGUAGUCCUGAGAAAUACAUUUUUCAAAUUUAAGGUUAAAAUAGCUGAACUGAAAACUUUUAUUACUCCGCUAUGAUUCCAGUUUGGCUGCUUUGGCUUUAAAUUUGUAAUUCAUUUUAGUGAAUAACCCAGUAUUUUAUAACUUUGUUUAAUUAACUAAAUAUAUAUGGACUAAUUGGAUUUCUAGAAAGUCAGUUAUAGUUUUUUCUUGAUGUAUGCUUUACACCAGAGUGUUCUGCAAGUUUUAAUACCAGAUGGUAUGCUAUAUUAUCCUUAAUCCUAUUGUGCAUUUAAAUUAAAGGGACACUAAAGACACCAAAGCAUAUUUAGCUUAAUUAAGUAAUUUUAGUAUAGAUCGUGCCCCUGCAGUCUCGCUGCACAAUUCUCCACUUAGGAGUUAAAUCAUUUUAUUUAUGCAGCGCUAAUCACACCUUCCUGAAUGGGACUUGCACAUCCUUCCUAAACACUUCUUGUAAGGUGAGAUCUAAUGUUUACACUUCCUUUAUUGCAUUUAUUUAGAAUGUAUGAUCUCCUGCUGUGUUAAUAGAUUGCUAGGCCUUGCAGGAGCCUCCUGUAUUUGAUUAAAGCUCAAUUUACAGAGCAGGAGAUGAAAACAUCAAAAGUAAGUUAACAUCUGAUUACAAUUUUAUCCUUUUUAAUGCAGGCUGUGCCAGUCACCACCAGGGAAGAUAUGACUAAAGCUGUAUAGACUGAAACAAUAGUGAUUUAACUCCAAAGGGAAGCAGUGAGACUUGAUCUAUAGACAAAAAACUGCUUCAUUAACCCCUUAAGGACC